rnacentral:miRNA from 1 species
GGUUUCUCUGUGUAGCCCUGGCUGUCCUGGAACUCACUCUGUAGACCAGGCUGGCCUCGAACUCAGAAAUCCACCUGCCUCUGCCUCCCGAGUGCUGGGAUUAAAGACGUGCGCCACCACUGCCC